rnacentral:rRNA from 1 species
UACGUAGUUAGCCGUGACUUCCUCGCCGGGUACCAUCACUCAGAAAGCUUUCCACUCUUUCUGCCUUUUGUCCCCGGCAACAGAGCUUUACGAUCCGAAGACCUUCCUCGCUCACGCGGCAUUGCUCGUUCAGGGUUCCCCCCAUUGACGAAAAUUCCCUACUGCUGCCUCCCGCAGGAGUCUGGGCCGUGUCUCAGUCCCAGUGUGGCCGUCCGCCCUCUCAGGCCGGCUAUGCAUCGUCGCCUUGGUGAGCCGUUACCCCUCCAACCAGCUAAUGCACCGCAGGUCCAUCUGCAUGCGGGACUCUUGUCCCCUUUUCCAAAAAGAAGAUGCCUCCUCUUUGCUCAUCCGGUAUCAGCUUCCGUUUCCAGAAGUUCUCCCGCUCAUGCAGGCAGGUUCCCUACGUGUUACUCACCCGUUCGCCACUCAUAUCCGAAGAUAUCCGUUCGACUUGCAUGUAUUAGGCAUGCCGCCAGCGUUCAUCCUGAGCCAGGAUA